ACGCGACUGGGGCUUCGGCCUCAGUUGAGUGGCGAACGGGUGAGUAACACGUGGGUGACCUACCUUCGAGUGGGGGAUAACGUCCCGAAAGGGACGCUAAUACCGCAUAACAUCCUGCCUUUGAACAGGCGGAGAUCAAAGCCGGGGAUCGCAAGACCUGGCGCUUGAUGAGGGGCCCGCGCCUGAUUAGCUAGUUGGCGAGGUAAUGGCUCACCAAGGCGACGAUCAGUAUCCGGCCUGAGAGGGCGGACGGACACACUGGGACUGAGACACGGCCCAGACUCCUACGGGAGGCAGCAGUGGGGAAUUGUUCGCAAUGGGCGCAAGCCUGACGACGCAACGCCGCGUGGAGGAUGAAGGUCUUCGGAUUGUAAACUCCUGUUGCUCAGGACGAAAAGCUCCGACCUAACACGUCGGAGUCUGACGGUACCGAGUGAGGAAGCCCCGGCUAACUCUGUGCCAGCAGCCGCGGUAAUACAGAGGGGGCAAGCGUUG
rnacentral:rRNA from 1 species